rnacentral:rRNA from 1 species
AUACGUAGGGGGCAAGCGUUGUCCGGAAUUACUGGGCGUAAAGGGCGCGUAGGCGGCCGAAUAAGUCUGUUGUGAAAUCCCACCGCUCAACGGUGGAAGUGCAGUGGAAACUGAUUGGCUAGAGUACGGUAGAGGCAAGUGGAAUUCCCAGUGUAGCGGUGAAAUGCACAGAGAUUGGGAGGAACACCAGUGGCGAAGGCGACUUGCUGGGCCGUAACUGACGCUGAGGCGCGAAAGCGUGGGGAGC